AUCCAGCUGACUAGUUAUAAAUAAGACGAAACGCGCGUCCUAGAU
rnacentral:hammerhead_ribozyme from 1 species